rnacentral:rRNA from 1 species
GACGAACGCUGGCGGCGUGCUUAACACAUGCAAGUCGAGCGGUAAGGCCCUUUCAGGGGUACACGAGCGGCGAACGGGUGAGUAACACGUGGGUGACCUGCCCUUAGCUCUGGGAUAAGCCUGGGAAACUGGGUCUAAUACCGGAUAUGACUCCAUGACGCAUGUUGUGGGGUGGAAAGCCUUGUGCGGCUAGGGAUGGGCCCGCGGCCUAUCAGCUUGUUGGUGGGGUGUANGGCCUACCAAGGCGACGACGGGUAGCCGGCCUGAGAGGGCGACCGGCCACACUGGGACUGAGACACGGCCCAGACUCCUACGGGAGGCAGCAGUGGGGAAUCUUGCGCAAUGGGCGAAAGCCUGACGCAGCGACGCCGCGUGAGGGAUGACGGCCUGG